CUUUUACGUGUGACACAUAUGAUUUGGUUUAUCGAUGUAUUAUAAAGUUGUUCAAGACGCACAUCCAGCCAUAAGAAAGCCAUAACGUCAUACAAGGACUGAAAGGUGACGUUUGCAACGGUAAACUCUUUUUGUGUGAAGGAACAUUCUUCUUUUUGAUCAUUUUUGUGUUUGUGACGAAGCGGACUCAUUCCCUGUUUGCGUAAAUGCGGCCAGCGAGGAUGUCUGAGGGGGCGGAGCCAAAUCAUUACGACAUCAGACUCACCUGGACUGAUCACCUGAGAACUACUUAACCUGUCACUCGGUCUGAUUGAUUCUUCUGUUCUGGUUUUAUCUGGUGUGUUUGUCCAACCUGCAGCUCAGACUGGGGAGCAGAGAUGUCGUCCAACAUGAGUCUCUGCAGCUUCUUUACAACUUUAAAAAACCCACAAACUGUCUGCUCAACAGCUAAACAUCCAUCCAUCAUCUAUAAACCUAUAGAUCCUCAUUAUCCCAGCUGACUGAGGGUGAUGGUUCACCUGGACAGGUAACAGUCUAUCACAGGUUCACCUGGACAGGUAACAGUCUACCACAGGGCUACACAUAGAGACAAACACUCACAUUCACACCUACAGACAAUGUAGAAUCACCAAUUAACCUCAGCGUGUUUCUGGACUGUGGGAGGAAGCUGGAGAACCUGGAGGAAACACACACAUGUACAGGAGAAUAUGGAGACUCCAUGCAGGAAGAUCUCAGGAAGGCCGGGAUGCGAACCGGGGAUCUUCUAGCUUCGCUGUAAAAAGUCAGUCCAUCCUCGCCGACUUCAACACCUCUUCAUGACAACUUGUUCUGCCUCCGACCUCGUGGAAACUCAAGAAACUCGGGAAAACCUGUCGAGACUCGAAGAACUCGUGGCGACUCGAAAAACUCGUCGGGCGGGGGAAGGUGUGGUGGGCGGUGGGGGAGUAGAGGGGGGAGGCCGCCACCCACCUUCCCGCCUACUCUCCGCCCUGGCUCCACCCAGACUCCGCCUUGGCUCCACCCAUGUGGUCACUUCAGGAACUACGAUGCCAAAGGGACGACGAAUUUAUGUCUUUUCAUCUGAUCUGUAGCUCAGUGAGUUAAGGAUUUGCCUGUGGAGCUGCAGGUCGCUGGUUCAAGACCAGACCCUUCUUAAGUUUUCUCAAAAUCCUGACAAAGACAAAGAAAGAAAAAGGCCGGUGGCGGGUCUCGAACCUGCGACCUACCGCUUGGUAGUCCUCUUCUUAUCCUCCUGAGCUACUCGCUCAGAUACAAAUUCUUCUUUUUUUUGCGCAUUUAUCAUCUAUUUUUUGUCGUCUUCGAGUUUUUUUUGACUCGAGUCUCAACUCGACCGUUUUUCUCAGGAGGUUGGACUUCAGCCUUUGUGCUGGAGGGUUGAACCUUCAGUUCCAAGACUUUCCAAAGCCUCCACACCUCCCGAGUCCUCAGGACCUGAGCUUUCACACAGUCUGAGGGCUGAAAUUUUCUAAGUCCCACAGCAGUUCUCUGUUAGUUUGAACCUUCAAACAGUCCAAGGACUGAAAUCCUCUAAGUUCCUGAGUAGUUCUCUGUUAGUUUGAACCUUUAGACAGUCCAAGGACUGAAAUUUUAAAAGUUUCUCAGUACUUCUCUGUUAGUUUGAACUUUCUGGUUAACAGAAGCCUUAAAACUUGUGACCAUGAGUCUUGAUUUCACAUUUAGACCAUCCAUCUGAGUUCUUCUCAGACCUUCACCUGUGGGUUUUUUAGAAAUCCUUAACAAACUUUGAUUCUCUUCACUGAACAGUAAAGUUUGUGGAGAUCAGAAGGUAACAUUAGUUUGAUCAAUGCCUUCAACUACUAGUAGACUUUAUCUGGAAAGCAGUUUUCUGAAAUGAGUUCUUAGUAAAUAUGUCCACAAUCAAACCAAGAACAUAGAAAGAGGAAAUGUUUGAAGAAACAACUUGUUUUGAUUUCAGACUAGAAAACGCUUAAGACCU
ensembl:lncRNA